rnacentral:rRNA from 1 species
UACGUAGGUGGCAAGCGUUGUCCGGAUUUAUUGGGCGUAAAGCGAGCGCAGGUGGUUUCUUAAGUCUGAUGUGAAAGCCCACGGCUAAACCGUGGAAGGUCAUUGGAAACUGGGGAACUUGAAUGCAGAAGAGGAGAGUGGAAUUCCAUGUGUAGCGGUGAAAUGCGUAGAUAUAUGGAGGAACACCAGUGGCGAAGGCGACUCUCUGGUCUGUUAUUGACACUGAGGCUCGAAAGCGUGGGGAGCAAACAGGAUUAGAUA